AUUGAACGCUGGCGGCAGGCUUAACACAUGCAAGUCGAACGAUGAUUUCCCAGCUUGCUGGGAAUGAUUAGUGGCGGACGGGUGAGUAACAUUUAGGAAUCUGCCUAGUAGUGGGGGAUAGCUCGGGGAAACUCGAAUUAAUACCGCAUACGACCUACGGGUGAAAGGGGGCGCAAACUCUUGCUAUUAGAUGAGCCUAAAUCAGAUUAGCUAGUUGGUGGGGUAAAGGCCCACCAAGGCGACGAUCUGUAACUGGUCUGAGAGGAUGAUCAGUCACACCGGAACUGAGACACGGUCCGGACUCCUACGGGAGGCAGCAGUGGGGAAUAUUGGACAAUGGGGGCAACCCUGAUCCAGCCAUGCCGCGUGUGUGAAGAAGGCCUUUUGGUUGUAAAGCACUUUAAGCAGGGAGGAGAGGCUAAUGGUUAAUACCCAUUAGAUUAGACGUUACCUGCAGAAUAAGCACCGGCUAACUCUGUGCCAGCAGCCGCGGUAAUACAGAGGGUGCGAGCGUUAAUCGGAAUUACUGGGCGUAAAGCGAGUGUAGGUGGCUCAUUAAGUCACAUGUGAAAUCCCCGGGCUUAACCUGGGAACUGCAUGUGAUACUGGUGGUACUAGAAUAUGUGAGAGGGAAGUAGAAUUCCAGGUGUAGCGGUGAAAUGCGUAGAGAUCUGGAGGAAUACCGAUGGCGAAGGCAGCUUCCUGGCAUAAUAUUGACACUGAGAUUCGAAAGCGUGGGUAGCAAACAGGAUUAGAUACCCUGGUAGUCCACGCCGUAAACGAUGUCUACUAGCCGUUGGGGUCCUUGAGACUUUAGUGGCGCAGUUAACGCGAUAAGUAGACCGCCUGGGGAGUACGGCCGCAAGGUUAAAACUCAAAUGAAUUGACGGGGGCCCGCACAAGCGGUGGAGCAUGUGAUUUAAUUCGAUGCAACGCGAAGAACCUUACCUGGUCUUGACAUAGUGAGAAUCCUGCAGAGAUGCGGGAGUGCCUUCGGGAAUUCACAUACAGGUGCUGCAUGGCUGUCGUCAGCUCGUGUCGUGAGAUGUUGGGUUAAGUCCCGCAACGAGCGCAACCCUUUUCCUUAUUUGCCAGCGGGUUAAGCCGGGAACUUUAAGGAUACUGCCAGUGACAAACUGGAGGAAGGCGGGGACGACGUCAAGUCAUCAUGGCCCUUACGACCAGGGCUACACACGCGCUACAAUGGUAGGUACAGAGGGUUGCUACACAGCGAUGUGAUGCUAAUCUCAAAAAGCCUAUCGUAGUCCGGAUUGGAGUCUGCAACUCGACUCCAUGAAGUCGGAAUCGCUAGUAAUCGCAGAUCAGAAUGCUGCGGUGAAUACGUUCCCGGGCCU
rnacentral:rRNA from 1 species